rnacentral:rRNA from 1 species
UACAGAGGGUGCAAGCGUUAAUCGGAUUUACUGGGCGUAAAGCGUGCGUAGGUGGUUCAGUAUGUCGGUCGUGAAAUCCCCGGGCUUAACCUGGGUACUGCGGCCAAAACUGCUGGGCUAGAGUGUGGUAGAGGGCGGUGGAAUUCCGGGUGUAGCGGUGAAAUGCGUAGAUAUCCGGAGGAACAUCGAUGGCGAAGGCAGCCGCCUGGGCCACAACUGACACUGAGGUACGAAAGCGUGGGGAGCAAACAGG